UUGUCAGUAUUUUUCUUUUCUACAAUAUUUUCACCAUAGCUUCUUUACUCUUGUAUUUUUCAAAUCUGUUAUAAUAAUGUUCUUCUUGAGCCGAGUGUCUAUUGGAAUCAACCUCUCUACCCCACAAAGGUAGGGAUAAGGUCUGCAUACACCCCUCACCCUCCCCAAACCCCACUUGUUGGAUCACACUGGCUAUGUUGUUGUUUAAUCAAAGUAUUAACUAAGCAUCUACUGUGAACUCAGUUGAAUGCAUCACAAUUCAUCGACUGAAGCAACAAAGGACUACUACCAGUUGACAGAUGAUAAACUCACUAUUACUGUAAUUUCAAAACUUAAAUACCAAUUAAAAGUUACUAAGCAGUUCAUAAUAAUGAUUGCUUACCUCCAUAAGUUCCACUUUUGCAGCAUCCACACCCUCCACAUCAUUAAAGCCAACCACCUGGUUACUUGGCUUUCUUUUUCUUGCAGGGCUAUUGGCAGCAGAAAGCUGACGAUAGAGAAGCCACAUUAUAGGAGUCAAAGGAAUCCAUAAAGAUAACAUAGUAAUUAAUAAGCUCCUAAUUGACAUAAGUGCUGAUUGUGGGGCUGAGCCAUACGCUGUUCCCUUUUCCCUCAUUAGACUAAGAAGAUAUCCUUCAUCAUGAUCAAUCUUCCUUGUACUAAACUGCCAUACAGGGGUAGAACCUUGGGCUUUUGAUAUUUUACUGAAGACAUUCCUGCCACCUUUGUUGCUAUCUAUAUCUUUGCUUUCCUCAGUGAUGAUUGUGCUUUCAUCAGGAACUAAGGAAUUAUCGCCUGUCUGAGCAUUUUUAAGACUCCACAAGUUCGUAUUGUAGUAAAUACGCCGCGUGCCUUCCUCAAAUUGAACCUUUGAUACAGAUCCUCCCUGAAGGCUGGUAAUCAAGUCUGAAUAUGGAACAACCUUUGGAGAAGGAGUUGCUGUCAAUCUUAGAAACAAAUAACACAAGCCCAAUAUCACAGAAAUUGAAGUUGACAGUGCCACUCUUCUUGUGUUCUUCCUCAGAAACUUCCCAAAAUCAUUUAACAUAGAUAUAACAGAUACCCUUUUCAACCUUCUUGACAGUAAUCUUAUCCUUGGUCUCAAUCUCAACGAAAACUUCCUACGACUAUUAUUACUUCCUGUUUUGUUCAAAUGGGUUUCUAUAUCUCCCUUCUCAUUUACCAUUGACCUAACCCCAGUACUACAAUGCAGUAAUCUACUUUGAGAUUUACAAAACCUAUAAUUCAACCCCAGUAAAGGAACAGAACUUGAGGUAAAACAAGAAUUGGAUAAUGAGCAAGAUUGAUUCUUUAAUCUCCUAAAAGGGUCAGAAUUCCCAAAAUGAAGCAUCCGUUUCUUGUACCUAGACUGAGAAAUACAGAAUCUUGAGGUAAAACAAGAAUUGGGUAAUGAGCAAGAUUGAUUCUUGAAACUUCUUAAAGAUUCAGAAUUUCCAAUAUGGGGUUUCCAUUUCUUGUGAGUAACUAAUAAUCUGCCAUUUGAAACAAGAGGUAAAGAUGCCAUUUUUCUACAAUAUGCACAUGAACUGUUCCAUGAAACUUGGAAAGAACCUGAACCCAACACUAAAGAUUAAUAAUAUACCUGGUUUUGAUACUGAAGCUGGAGACUUUUUAGGGAUUUAGCAUUGUAGAGCAACUUUGAGAGGGAAGAUAAGAGAAGAUUUUGGGGUUUUCAAAAAUUAUUCUGCACUGAGAGGAUGAGAGGGUAUAAGGUGAACCAAAAUCUUGGGAUCUUUUGAUAUUUUCAGAAUUUUAUUCAAUAUGGGAAUUUUGGGUCAUUUUAGUAGUUUUUCUUCUUCUUAAAUUCAUGCUCUUUAAUGUUGUUCUUAGUAUUUUAAGUAGCAAAAAAUUAAUUGAAAAUAUUUUUGAUAUCAGAAGAAGAAAAAAUCUGCGGGGCGGACAUUUUUAUUUUUGUGUUAUAAUAUAACACAAAUUAGAUUUUAUAAAACAUAGCAAAUUAUGCUUCUUAAUUUAUGUCGAAUUUAUGUUAUUAGAUGCAUAGGUUCAAAUUCAACCUAAAAAUUUUGUGUUACAAAGUAUACUUGGAUUUAGAGAUUUUACGUCGAUAGAAAUAUAGGUUUGCCUUAUUCGAUUCAUAACUCAUAGGCUAUGUAUAGAUUUGCCUUAUUCGGUUCAUAACUCAUAGGCUAUGUUUUACGAGGCAUAAUUUUGUUCCUAGUGAGCUUAUGUUGAUAUAGGCAUAAGUUUCAUAAGUUCAGUUUUAGAAUUAACAAAAUUAUACUUUAUGAGAUAUAACUUAUUCAACUGAAUUUUUUAUAAACUAGGUAAAAAAAAUUUCUAAACUUAUGUUAGACAAGCCAAACAUUUUAUAGACUUAUGUCUUGCGAAAUUAGGUCAUAAUUAGAUAUAUUUUCACCCAUGAAUUUUCAUUGAAUGAAUAGUAAGAUAAAAAUUAAAGAUCAUUUCAAAAUAAAGGGUAUUCAUGCAGAAACUUAUAUUUUCAACGGAAGAGCAUAAAUACCAAAUUUUGAGACCAAUAUUUUAUCAGUUGUAGACAGAGUUAAUUGUUUUUUCAAAUACACCAUUUUGGGACCGCUUCAAAUAAAGUUACAAAAAUUUGUGUGUGAAAUUUAGAAAAUUUUGGACAAUCUUUAUUUGAAGUGUGUUCUUGUCAAAGCCAAACAUCACACUUCUUAUUGAAGUUGUUUUAGCAAAGUCAAAUUUUGGAUAUUUUUUAUUGCAGUUGUGGUCUUGACAUGGUCAAAUUUCAGCCAUAUAUUGACCUGCCAAAUAGCUUUAGAUUUCCUUGAAAUUAUGAUCUAAGUAAGGCCAAAUUUGAGAUACCUUUUAGGUCAAUUUAUAUAGAUAAUGUACUAUAUAGCCUUAAUUAUAUUAUAAAAUAAAGUUAAUAUAUUAACACUUGAAUAGCAAAACUAGAGAAGAAUAGAUGGAAUAAUAUGACAAGAACAAAGAAAACAGAAACAAAAAUAGUAGAAGAAGAGAGAUAUAGGAAAUAUGAAGUAGUAACUUAUUCUUGUUGUGUGUAUUUUUUACAUUAUUAUCAAUGUCCUUUAAUAAGCAUUAUGACUUGGAGUAGUUAUAAAGCUACAGUAAUUGUCACGCCCCGAGCCUACACCCAGGAUGUGGCCGGUACUCGAGAACCGUUGCUUGUCCCCAAGCGAACCCUUGAUCUGGCUGACUACUUAGCAGAAAACUUACUCAAGCCGAUAGGAAACUUUAAAUGCAUAAUUAAAAUCAACUCAAUUAAAUGUCUAAAAAUACUUAAUAGGGUAUAAGUAAUAGUUUUCAAGAUCUCAAAAUAGAAAGGAACACACUGAGAGACUCGUCAACUCUAACUAUCUAUGAAGCCUCUAUUACUCAAGAUGGAUGUCAAGACAAGCCCCACGACACCUCAAGACAACUGACUAGAAAAUAAAUGUGAAGUCCCCCGGAAUGCAAGGAGGUUCACCUAAGCUAUCUGAAGUGCAAAGUGAUCUCAACGAAAAGCAUGUUGAUGAUCUUGAACCCUGUAUCUGUAUCACAAUAAGAUGCAGGUCGAAUAACAUCAGUACAUUGAAUGUACAAGUAUGUAAUAUAGCUGAAUAAAAAAUAACUAAAUGAAAGGACCGCAAUAGAUAUAGAUAUAUACUCAACUGAAUGUAAAGAAAUAAAGGAGUGAAAUCAUUAGAACUUUACAAAAAUACUUACUCAUCUCAGAACUCAACAUAAUGAGUGAUAAAAUAAAAAUACACUUUUAACUCUGUUUGGGAGAUUCUCUAACUGACAACCAUCACUAUGAGCUAUGUUAUGAUACAACGUAUCGCCCAUGCUGCCAGAACUAUCAUAUACUGUGUCGGGGUAUAGAACCUCUUAACUAAGUUGAUCCACCAAGCAAUAAGAAUUCAUCUAAAAGGUAUGAUCCUUUACCCAUGUUGGCAAGACAUGGUUUAUGAGGAUUUUGAGUUGUCUGAACUCAUCCCCAUAUCGGUGCUCAAUACUACUUCCAAUAAUAUAUAUGAUCAUGCUCAAAUGUAUAAAACAUACUCUUUCUCUGGUUUGAGAUAAUUACUCAAAGUAUCCUCUUAAAAGAGGUAACUGCUCUGAAAUACCCUGAACUCAUAAACUCUUUUUAGAAAUCAAAGUUUCUCUUUUCUCAAUAUAAAAAUGUUACAUUUGGAAAUACUUAGUUCCCUUUUAUUCUUUCUCAAUCAUGUAUGAAACUCUUCUCAAAACUCAUCUCUGUUUUUCGGAAAAUUAGUUUAAGAUCAUUGGUUAAAAAGGGUUCUCAACAAUAACUACAUAAAAGCUCUUGAAUUUUUCUCUUAAACUCACUUUAGUUUUGAAUGUGCAUUAAGACACAUGAUUAGGUUAUGCAGAAAUUUUCAAAGGUACAUGGAGCCUAUAGGAGCUACUACAGAGAAGGGGGAUGUGUCCACAACUUAAAGGAACAUGUCCGGAUGAAACAAAGAAGGAAUCGGCCCAGGCGACCCCUGGCGCACUGCUAGCGCGGGGCGCCAGGCCCCAAACUUCAAAAGUAGACUUGGGGCUGUCACGAUCCAGGGGUACCCCCUAGAUGUAACAAGGCACAUAGAACCCCGAAAGGCUCCAUGUAAGCCACUUAGCAUAUUACAACAUAAGAUAAUAGAAAAGUGCGUAAAUUUAAAAUAUUUUUUUAAAUACAAUCGAAGUCUCAUAAAACGAAGCAGAAGUCUAUUACAUUUGUCUCAAACCAUCUAAUACUUGAAAAGAGUUAGGGACACAACCCAUACACUAUCUAAACAUAAAGAAAGACAUAAAAGAACAUAGUGGUCAAAUCCUCGAUGGUAUGAGGACUCACCAAGUCUUUGCUUGCUUGCUUCUACUAAGAACCUAUCCACGAGAAUGGAACUCAAUAUCGCCGAACCCUACAUUUAAUAAGAAUGUAGGAAAAAGUAUGUGUUAGUCCAAUAAUGUUCUAAAUAUGAUGGCUAGCACAAAUCAUCAACAUAAGUAUAUAAGAGGCAUUAGUCCACAUAAGACAUAUACCAUAAUCAUAAGAGACAAUAACAUAAGUCAUAAGUAUAAGAGAUAUCAUCAUAGAACAUAGGAAAUAAGCAUGGGAGAUAACAACAUAGUCACAGGCAUAAUCAAUGCAUCUAAUUUAACAUAACAUAAGAGAAAUACUUCAUAAGCCACCUCAAGACAAGCUUGUGCAAUGCAUGCAUAAGAUCCCAUAAUCCCAUAGUGAGGAUGAGAGGGUAUAAGGUGAACCAAAAUCUUGGGAUCUUUUGAUAUUUUCAGAAUUUUAUUCAAUAUGGGAAUUUUGG
rnacentral:lncRNA from 1 species